rnacentral:rRNA from 1 species
GAUGAACGCUGGCGGCGUGCCUAAUACAUGCAAGUCGAGCGAACAGACGAGGAGCUUGCUCCUCUGAUGUUAGCGGCGGACGGGUGGGUAACACGUGGAUAACCUACCUAUAAGACUGGGAUAACUUCGGGAAACCGGAGCUAAUACCGGAUAAUAUAUUGAACCGCAUGGUUCAAUAGUGAAAGACGGUUUUGCUGUCACUUAUAGAUGGAUCCGCGCCGCAUUAGCUAGUUGGUAAGGUAACGGCUUACCAAGGCAACGAUGCGUAGCCGACCUGAGAGGGUGAUCGGCCACACUGGAACUGAGACACGGUCCAGACUCCUACGGGAGGCAGCAGUAGGGAAUCUUCCGCAAUGGGCGAAAGCCUGACGGAGCAACGCCGCGUGAGUGAUGAAGGUCUUCGGAUCGUAAAACUCUGUUAUUAGGGAAGAACAAAUGUGUAAGUAACUAUGCACGUCUUGACGGUACCUAAUCAGAAAGCCACGGCUAACUACGUG